UACGGAGGGAGCUAGCGUUGUUCGGAAUUACUGGGCGUAAAGCGCGCGUAGGCGGCUUUGUAAGUUAGAGGUGAAAGCCCGGAGCUCAACUCCGGAACUGCCUUUAAAACUGCAUCGCUUGAAUCCAGGAGAGGUGAGUGGAAUUCCCAGUGUAGAGGUGAAAUUCGUAGAUAUUCGGGAAGAACACCGUGGUGCGAAGGCGGCUCACUGGCUGAUUGA
rnacentral:rRNA from 1 species